rnacentral:piRNA from 1 species
UGAACGACAAUCGCUAGCCAAUGAUAU